UCAAACUAUAUGUUAAAGUAUUAAAUAGGUACAUUACAUGUACCAUAUAAUAUUAUGUGUCUGAUCUCUCCAUUUUUUCGUUUGAGGCUUUUGGAAUUUUUUUUUUUUACAGAGUAAAAAGGGCUGUCCUUUGAGGGUGCAUGACAGAUUUCGUUGUGCCAAAGUUUAAAAAAUUUCUUGGUAGCUGUGUUCAAUUAUCAUUCAAACAUUGCACAAAUAUGGAUGUAAAGGGGGCCUUUAGUAAAGGAAAAAUUAAAGGUCCUAUUAGUAUAACAUCAGCUUUAACUUCAGCAUUCCUUGAAUGGAUGCUCAUGAUUUUUCUGUUUAUUGACGGUGGUUUCGCCUACUUAGUUACAAAAUUUGCCCAGUAUUGCCAAUUGCAAGUUCCAUGUUUGCUUUGCUCGAGGCUGGAUCAUGUUCUUGGCAAGAAAAGGGCUGGAUUUUACUGGGAAUUAAUCUGCCCUGGUCAUAAGUUGAAGAUAUCUUCAUUAGUUCUUUGUCAUUCUCACAGCAACCUUGUUGAUGUUCAUGGGAUGUGCGAGAAUUGCCUUUUCUCAUUUGCCACAGUAAAUAAGUCGAAUGUUGAAACCUAUAGAUUACUGGUCGGGAAACUUGGGGCAGAUCCUCACCUUGCUGAUGAGGAGCAAACCAAGAGUUCUUCGGGAAUAAGAAAAUGUUAUUGUUGUAAAGAGGAAUGUGUUUCUAGGGGAUAUGCCCAAAAGUUGUUCAAGAUUACAUCUUCGUGCGCUGAUGCAGCUGAACUGACUAAUGGACAAGAGGGGGGUGACACGAAGGAGUCUGCGAACGAACCAUCUACAUCAGUCGUGGUUCCUUUGCCUCAUUUGGAGUACAAAAAGGUCAAGGUUAACUCCGAUUCUGAAUCAGAAGCUGCUCACUCGGAUAGUGAUUGUGCUAGGCCUCUAAUCCGUGCAAGGGACUAUUCGAUAGAUGAUUCUUCUGAUAGAUGUUUGCAUCCGGAACCUCAGAUUUUUACUGUCACUGAUGACGUUGCUACUGAGAAACUAAUACAUUCGGCUUCAGUGGCUGAGCCAUCAGUUCUUGAUCCAGAAAUAGACUUAAAGGCUAGAGAUUUUGCGUCUGUUGUGACCUCGACUGGAGCUGUUGCGCUUGGUUUAGAGGAAUUUAACUGGCAGCAGACUGAACAGAAGACUGAUGUAUCUGCCCCAUCUGAUCUUAUAAGUUUCGAUGAAGUCAACCCCUUGUCCAGUGUCAACGAUAAUCUUGUUGACGUAGCAAGAGAGACCUCAGCAGGUGAGACAAGCAACCAAGUUGUUGAAGGUUGUGGGGAAGUCCCCAGGGCAAGAAGUGAAGAUAUCCCAAAGAGGGAAACAGAACUGGAUUCUAAAUCAGACCCAAAUGAGGUUAGAUUACAAACAGCUGGUUCUUUUGAUCUAGGCGAUGCUUAUAAGCUAGCUGUUGGCAAUAGAGCAAGGCAAUUGUCUGGUAAGUUUUUGGAGCAGAGGUCAUUCAAGGAUUCUACACGAAUGAGUGAAGAUCUAAAAGUCCUACUUAGACAACUGUCUGCUGCUUGUGGUACCGAUACUAUAUUGAGUGAGAUGAGCCCGAGGGUGUCUGUAAAUGGUGAGGAAAUUAUUGGAAUGCAGCUACUUCACAAAAGGAUCUCGCUUGAGAGAAAUGAAUCUGGUUUGUCUCUGGAAGGAAGCGCAGUGAGUGAAAUCGAAGGUGAGAGUGUGUCUGAUCGCUUAAAACGACAGGUGGAGUAUGAUAGAAAACUAAUGUCUGCUCUCUAUAAAGAGUUGGAGGAAGAGAGAAACGCGUCCUCAGUUGCUGCGAAUCAGGCAAUGGCAAUGAUUACAAGAUUACAAGAGGAGAAGGCAGCACUUCACAUGGAAGCUUUGCAAUGCCUAAGAAUGAUGGAAGAACAAGCUGAAUAUGACAAUGAAGCACUGGAGAAAGCAAAUGAUCUACUUGCACAAAAGGAGAAAGAGAUUCAAGAUUUCGAAGCUGAACUUGAACUUUACAAGAAGAAACUUGGAAACAUGGCUCUCUUUGAGGAUGCGCUUGAGGCCAGUUAUGGUUCAAAUAAAGCUAAGCAAGCUCAUACAAUAUGCAGUGAUGGCAGUUCAACUGUUCCUGGUGAUGUAAAUGCUGAUAAACCAACUAGCGGCAGUAGAAAUUGUGAGAUGAAGACAUCAUCUGGAGUCGAUAACAUAGAUAAGGGGAGCAGAGAACAAAUUAUGAAUUGUUUGGACAAAUUGGAAGAAAAGCUCCAGUUGCUCUCUAAGCAUGAGGCUGGCCAAGUCAUUGCUAAUGUUAACUCCGAGUUUUCAGCAGAUGAGUGGGUUGAAGUGGGCAAUCCUAAAGACUCAGAUCAUAGGGAGUCUUCCAGAAAUAAUGGCAAAAUAGAGCCAAAUGUGCACCUAGAGCCAAUUGCAGACACAAUGGAGAAUCUGAAAGUUGAUUUAUCAGUUUUGAGUAGCAGACUGAAAGCACUUGGGAUAGAACACAGCUUUCUUAUGCAUUCCAUCAACUCACCGAGGGGUGGAGAUGAGGGAUCUCGAUUCAUUGAGGAGAUUUCUGGUCCCUUGCGGCAGUUGCAUUUUAUUUUGGAUAGAUCAAGUGGUGAACUUGCACGGAAAUAAAGGCAUUAAAGUUGCAGAAAAAUCAAUGAGAUAGGAGAAGAUAGAGACGUUCUUCGAUUCUUGCAAAUUAAGUUAAAGAUGGUUCUUUCUCCUACUGCAUGAAGUGUACAGUUUCUGGGUGAACUGUGAACAUGGUUUCUCCCAUUAGUAGAAGGCUACAAGCAGCAAUUUAGCAUUGUGUGAUAUGUUUUUCCAAUGAUUUCUUGCUUUUUCAUCCUUCCUUCCCCCCCCCCCCCCCCCCCCCCCUUUUUUGAUUCAUUUUACUACAUAGGUUUGAGUAAAGAUUGCAUGUAAAGUUGAAAUUCAAGAGAAUUUGAUAUAAAGUUCUGCUGGAGUGGCUUGAGUCCUGAUUUUAAUAUAGUGGAUUAUUGAAUUUGUUGUGAUAAACUUUGUUUCUAUCUAA